GCCAUCUUAGCUCAGUUGGUAGAGCGGCGGUAUCGUAAACCGCAGGUCACCGGUUCAAUCCCGGUAGAUGGCUCCA
rnacentral:tRNA from 1 species